CAAAUUUUGGGGUUUCUGCUCCACAGGGGAAUGAGGAUUGUGCUGGUCCAGGAAGGGCAGGAGCAAUUCCUGACCAAAUUUUGGGGUUUUGUUCCACAGGAAGAACCCAAAUAGUGAGGGCUGUUCUGGUCCAGGAAGGGCAGGGGAAAAUCCUGACCAAAUGUUGGGGUUUCACGGGGGACCGAGGGUUGUGCUGCUCCAGGAAGUGCAGGGAAAAUCCUCACCAAAUUUUGGGGUUUCUGUUCUACAGGAAGAACCCAAAUAAUGAGGGUUGUGCUGCUCCAGGAAGGGCAGGGGAAAAUCCUGACCAAAUUUUGGGGUUUCUGCUCCAGGAGCAACUCCUGAGGGGGGAAAGGUGCAGAAAGUUAAAAAAUCCCCCUGGCAGCCCAGGCCAGAGGAGGAAGUGCUCAAAAUUAGAAAAAAAA
rnacentral:lncRNA from 1 species